UAUAUUGGAAAGGCAAAUAAUGAACUUAAAAUAAUUUUCAAAAGUAUGUGUGCAUAUCUAACCCGUUUCGAGGACAAUCAAGCCUUAAUACCCCCGCUGAUACGAAAUCCGUCCGAUCACUAUGGCACAAGGUAGACGACGCCUAGUUGGCAAACAGAUAAAGUGCUUUUUUAGGAGGUUAUCUUCGCUGGCCAACUUUCCGGGACCUUUGCACGGCGCUAUACAUAGACAACCCGAGCUUUACGCCUAAGAAAAAUUUGUUUCAUUUAAAUGUCAAAACUAAAGGAAAGGCUCAUGCCUUAGUUUCUAAUAAUUUUUUGACCAUGAUUCUGAUAACCUAGGGGCAGUCGGGUUUUUGGAUUUUUAGUUUAAAGAAAAUAACCGUCAAAAUAAUGGUAAGCGAUAGGUAUGCCCUUAUCCCCAUCAAAAAGCCCGACUUCGCGCGUCAAGUUCCAGGGACAUCAUAUUCGGGCCUCGUUGGAAAGGUCCCUUCAAAUUAAGAUUUCUGGGUUCCAUACUGCAUCAUAGAUGGCAGCUCAUUUCUAUGAACUUCAAACGCCAUCAACUCACCACAGAGCCCGAGGCAAACUAAUGAGGAUUCAUCAAGCACAGCUUUCAAGCAGGGCAUUUUCUGCCCUGCCCUGCUGCCCAUAUGAAAUGCAUG